CACGUAGGGUGCGAGCGUUGUCCGGAAUUAUUGGGCGUAAAGAGCUCGUAGGCGGUGUGUCGCGUCGGCCGUGAAAACCUGCAGCUUAACUGUGGGCUUGCGGUCGAUACGGGCAUCACUGGAGUUCGGCAGGGGAGACUGGAAUUCCUGGUGUAGCGGUGAAAUGCGCAGAUAUCAGGAGGGAACACCGGUGGGCGAAGGCGGGGUCUCUGGGCCGAUAACUG
rnacentral:rRNA from 1 species